rnacentral:rRNA from 1 species
UACGUAGGGACCAAGCGUUGUUCGGAUUUACUGGGCGUAAAGGGCGCGUAGGCGGCGUGGUAAGUCAAUUGUGAAAUCUCCGAGCUUAACUCGGAACGGUCAAUUGAUACUGCUGUGCUAGAGUGCAGAAAGGGCAAUCGGAAUUCUUGGUGUAGCGGUGAAAUGCGUAGAUAUCGGGAGGAACACCGGUGGCGAAGGCGGAUCUCUGGGCCAUUACUGACGCUGAGGAGCGAAAGCGUGGGGAGCGAACAGG